CUGCAGCGGUGUCUGCUGCACCUGUCGUUGGGGUUGUUGCUGUGGCUUCAAAGGUGCGUGCUGCACGCGCUGUUGUGCAGCCCGUUCAUGCGCCUGGGUUGCACAGCAGGCAGGCACCAGAAUCUGAAAAGAAAUAUGCGUGUUCUUAGAGCUUUUGGAAGGAUUUCAGCUCCUUUUGCGGUAGGAUGGCAUGGUGGGCGUGCACUUGGGCCGGUGACAGGCGUUGGCAGCUUGCUGCGCGUGCUAUGAGCUUGUUGACAACGUGCCCAACUUCUCGGUGACCCCAGAUUGCGCGACAAACGGGCAGCGCCCCCGGUAACGAGUAUCAGAUCUCAAAUCUACGUGACUGCGAAAGCCUGUAUCGGUUCUGUUACCUGAGGUGGUACACCGCCAGACAGUUGGGCUUGACUCGGCCCAGCUUCAUGAGCGCGAGCGCGAGCCAUCUGCAUGGCUCGCAGCAUAUCUUGGUAUCUGCAGGUUAAACAGCUGGAUAUUAAUCAUUCACAUUUGUCGUGACGCACACGUCGAGCCGACCAACGCGCCUACCUUUCGUCCAUUGUUUCUUGCUUCUAGUACUCAUGUAGCAUAGUUGGUGCGGAGUAUGCGGCACGCACGCUGUAGAACCUCCCCUUGCUACUUGACAAAGACACCUUUAGCUGAGUGCUACUUGCUGCCCCUACAAGGUCAGCGCAUAGACAUUACAAAGACAGCUCAACCUUGAAG
rnacentral:lncRNA from 1 species